UACGUAGGGGGGCAAGCGUUGUCCGGAUUUAUUGGGCGUAAAGAGCGUGUAGGCGGCCAAGCAGGUCCGCUGUGAAAACUCGAGGCUCAACCUCGAGACGUCGGUGGAAACCGUUUGGCUAGAGUCCGGAAGAGGAGAGUGGAAUUCCCGGUGUAGCGGUGAAAUGCGCAGAUAUCGGGAAGAACACCCGUGGCGAAGGCGGCUCUCUGGAACGCAACUGACGCUGAGACGCGAAAGCGUGGGGAGCAAACAGG
rnacentral:rRNA from 1 species